UACUUAAAUACAUAGUAAAGAGAAAUAAUAUUAAUAUAAGUUAGAAUGGAUAAUUAACGGGUCAAGUGUAUUAUGCAUUUUUGAGUAAGGAUGAUAUAGAUAGUGAUAUGUAAUAGUCAAUUAUUGAUCUGAGUCUGUUGCAAGCUUGAUGUUUGUUUUAUUAAGGAAACAACAAAUAAAUAUUACCAUAAAUUAAUAAAUACCUAAAUGACUACGUAUAUGAAUGGUGGAAAGUAUGGAUCAAUGGACAAAAUAUCAAACUUUUUAUCACCUGCUCUGCUUGGUACUAUUCAGAAUUGAUGCCCCAGCUGAUUUCAGCUUCUGCCGUGAUCAGGAUUGUCCUAUUGCCUCUGUAUUAGAAAGAGACAAAGGUCAGUCUCAAAUUUGAGGUUGUUCCUUUUGUUAAGAGAAAAAAAUCUAAAUUAUGAAAAAUUAAUAACUACCUAAAGGACUGAACGAAUAUAAUGUGGAAAGGAAAAAUCCAUUCAGACAAGAAUGGACCAGUCGAGCUGAUUGGAAAAUUCUUUCAUGGUCACGUUCUCUGGUUGUCUCCACGUCUUUGGUGUAUAGAGACCAAUAAAGAGGACCCUGAACUCAGGAGCUCAUGGGAGCAUCUCUGUGUAGGAGCAUUAAGUCCAGUAAUCGACACACUCAAGCUGAUUCAAGCAUUUUCUGUGGUUUCCUCUGUGUGUUAAGAGCCUAGAGAUGAAUAAUGGACGCAUGCUGGAGGGUUUAAGCAUCUUGCACGAUCCUGUGCUCUAUAGACCAAUAAUGGAUGCACCUGAAUUGGUUAAGCAUUGACCAUGAUCAGGAGCUUUGCUGGUUGUCCUGUGUAUAAGUACAUGUGGUCCAUAUUGGCUCCUCCAAGCUGAUUAAGAUUGUCAUGUUGCCUCCGUGUCAGGAAAGAGACAAAGGCCUCAGAAUGGACACACCUGAGCUGAUUUAAGCAUCUUCCAUGGGUACCAGGUCUAUGGUUGCACCUGUGUGUUAGGAGCAUACAGACCAAUAAUGGACCCCCUCAAGCUGGCUUAACGAUUCUUCCAUGAUCAAAAGUUCUAUGGUUUAGAGCAUGGUGACCAAUGUGAGUAAUAGUCAAAGUUAUUGCCUCAGUUUGGGUUGUUUGUUUAAGGGUA